rnacentral:lncRNA from 1 species
UCAACGGCUUCUUCCUGUUUAAACCUCGGUAGUUGCCUUAAUCAACCUGUUACAUCAUGAUUUCCCCCAGAGAACAACUCACCAGUGGUCACUAUUCACGUGUCAUGCCCCGUGAUAUGAGCCAGUAGCCAACAUAUGCCUCCAUCCUCAAUGGCUUCCAAACCGGCACCCAUAUCUCAGGCAGAGCGGCAUCAUGCUUAUGUCACCUUUCUUCAUCGUAGGCAGAGCUUUGGUGGAUGAUGCCGUCUGCAGCUCCCGUUUCUCGCUUCUGUACACAUGCCUGCUGAAGCAAGUUUACCAUAUGGGGUUGCAACCCCCUCAUUUGAGUCCUGCAGAUCAUGCAAGCAAACAGUUGCAAAGUCUAGCAUGCAAGCCCAAUUUUACUACUUCUCAUGAGACAACAUCAUACUUUGGGUUGUUGCUUGGGUUUGGUGCUGCCCAGGUUUGCAGCCAUGGCAUGAGGAGCGUGGUCGCGAUGGUGAAGUCCUUUGUUGCCAAGUUGCCAUAGAACUCGGCAAAGUCGUCAUAUUCCAUUCCACUGACGGCCAGGAAUUCCUCAAACGCUUUGGUGGCCUUAUCACCAG